rnacentral:misc_RNA from 1 species
AACCAUAGAAACCUGCGGAGUACCUGCGGAAGGAUCAUUACCGAUGCUCGGGCGGACGCCCGGCCGUCCCGCUCCGGCCCGAAAGCCGUGCAGCGGACGGACGGCCCGUCCCCGACCCUUCACAAACCCAAACCGUGCACCUUUGCGGAGGAGGCGGGCCCCGCCGCGGGCCCGUCCGACCCCCGCACCAACAGACCCUUUUACGCGUUUGAGAACGAACAGGGCGUGCCCGUCGGGCCG